rnacentral:rRNA from 1 species
GAUCCUGGCUCAGGAUGAACGCUGGCGGCGUGCUUAACACAUGCAAGUCGAGCGAAGCAAUUUAAGUGAAGUUUCCGGAUGGAUCUUAAAUUGACUGAGCGGCGGACGGGUGAGUAACGCGUGGAUAACCUGCCUCACACAGGGGGAUAACAGUUAGAAAUGACUGCUAAUACCGCAUAAGCGCACGGUACCGCAUGGUACAGUGUGAAAAACUCCGGUGGUGUGAGAUGGAUCCGCGU